CAGCCGCCGCGGUAAUACGGAGGGAGCUAACGUUGUUCGGAAUUACUGGGCGUAAAGCGCACGUAGGCGGCUUGGUAAGUUAGAGGUGAAAGCCUGGAGCUCAACUCCAGAAUUGCCUUUAAGACUGCCGAGCUAGCAGGUGAGAGAGGUAAGUGGAAUUCCGAGUGUAGAGGUGAAAUUCGUAGAUAUUCGGAAGAACACCAGUGGCGAAGGCGGCUUACUGGCUCAUACUGGACGCUGAGGUGCGAAAGCGUGGGGAGCAAACAGGAUUAGAUACCCGAGUAGUCCCUGUCUCUUAUAC
rnacentral:rRNA from 1 species